rnacentral:rRNA from 1 species
CCUACGGGAGGCUGCAGUGGGGAAUAUUGGGCAAUGGGCGAAAGCCUGAACCAGCAACGCCGCGUGAAGGAAGAAGGCUUUCGGGUUGUAAACCUCUUUUCUCAGGGACGAAGAAAGUGACGGUACCUGAGGAAUAAGCCACGGCUAACUACGUGGCAGCAGCCGCGGUAAUACGUAGGUGGCAAGCGUUAUCCGGAUGUACUGGGUGUAAAGGGCGUGUAGGCGGGACGGUAAGUCAGAUGUGAAAACCAGGGGCUCAACCUGUGGCCUGCAUUUGAAACUGUAGUUCUUGAGUACUGGAGAGGCAGGCGGAAUUCCUGGUGUAGCGGUGAAAUGCGUAGAUAUUAGGAGGAACACCAGUGGCGAAGGCGGUCUGCUGGACAGCAACUGACGCUGAGGCGCGAAAGCGUGGGGAUCAAACAGGAUUAGAUACCCGUGUAGUC